rnacentral:rRNA from 1 species
GUCUACAGCUACAUGGCCUUGAAUGCACCUGAUCUUGUCAGACCUCGGAAGCUGAGUAGGUUCAGGCCUGGCUAGUACUUCAAUGGUAGAGGUUUUCAUACAAGAAGCGAGAGGUGCUAAGCA